GGGGGCCCGCACAAGCGGCGGAGCAUGCGGAUUAAUUCGAUGCAACGCGAAGAACCUUACCAAGGCUUGACAUGAACCGGAAUGAUGCAGAGAUGUGUCAGCCACUUGUGGCCGGUUUACAGGUGGUGCAUGGUUGUCGUCAGCUCGUGUCGUGAGAUGUUGGGUUAAGUCCCGCAACGAGCGCAACCCUCGUUCCAUGUUGCCAGCGGGUUAUGCCGGGGACUCAUGGGAGACUGCCGGGGUCAACUCGGAGGAAGGUGGGGACGACGUCAAAUCAUCAUGCCCCUUAUGUCUUGGGCUUCACGCAUGCUACAAUGGCCGGUACAAAGGGUUGCGAUACUGUGAGGUGGAGCUAAUCCCAAAAAGCCGGUCUCAGUUCGGAUUGAGGUCUGCAACUCGACCUCAUGAAGUUGGAGUCGCUAGUAAUCGCAGAUCAGC
rnacentral:rRNA from 1 species